rnacentral:rRNA from 1 species
GCCAGCCCGCUCAGAACUCAAAGGAAUGACGGGGCCCGCACAAGCGGUGGAGUAUGUGGUUUAAUUCGAUGCAACGCGAAGAACCUUACCUGGUCUUGACAUCCCGGAGACCCUUAGGAAACUAGGGGGUGCUUCCAUCUGGAAGAAUCUGGAGACAGGUGCUGCAUGGCUGUCGUCAGCUCGUGUCGUGAGAUGUUGGGUUAAGUCCCGCAACGAGCGCAACCCUUGCCUUUAGUUGCCAGCAGUUCGGCUGGGCACUCUAAAGGGACUGCCGGUGUUAAACCGGAGGAAGGUGGGGAUGACGUCAAGUCCUCAUGGCCUUUAUGACCAGGGCUACACACGUACUACAAUGGCCGAUACAAAGGGCAGCGACACUGCGAGGUGAAGCCAAUCCCGUAAAAUCGGUCUCAGUCCGGAUUGGAGUCUGCAACUCGACUCCAUGAAGUUGGAAUCGCUAGUAAUCGUGGAUCAGCAUGCCACGGUGAAUACGUUCCCGGGCCUU